CCCUUAGACGUUCUGGGCCGCACGCGCGCUACACUGACCAGUGCAACAAGCAUCCGUCCUUGGCCGACAGGCCCGGGCAAUCUUUGAACGCUGGUCGUGAUGGGGAUAGAUUUUUGCAAUUUUUGGUCUUCAACGAGGAAUUCCUAGUAAACGCAAGUCAUCAACUUGCAUUGAUUACGUCCCUGCCCUUUGUACACACCGCCCGUCGCACCUACCGAUUGAAUGGUCCGGUGAAGCCUCCGGAUUGGCGCGCACCUCGGUGCCGCCGAGAAGUUGGCUAAACCUUACCAUUUAGAGGAAGGUGAAGUCGUAACA
rnacentral:rRNA from 1 species